AACUACCUAACCUAAGGGUCCGUAUACGAAAUUUUGUCGAUUUCGCUGAUUUAUCAGCGCAGACGUGAUUUAACAGUUAAAAUACAGUAUUUCUAUAAGUUUUAAUGCACAACAUGUAAGAUCAUUUCAAUUAUAAUCUAAUGUUGGAGCUAGUUUUUUUUUAAAGUAUUUUUAA